GUUCUUUCACUUUUCUCUCUCAUUUUAUUCCCUUUACUUUUCUCUCAUUCCAACCACAGUGUCAAUAUUAAAUGUAGAUUCAAACAAAACUGCGUGAUUUUGUCAAAUGCUGGGUCUGGACAGGGACAUUUUCUCAAAUCCUUCUCUUCGAAGUUGGAACGAAACAAACCCUGACUCGAGCGGCUUUGCGAUUAGGGUUUUGGGUAGAAAAGGAGCAGGGUUUUAGGACUGUUUCCCCUCCCUUUCCAAUAACUUAUGUUUGGGAAAACCCAUCACCAUGAGGAGGUCAGGCGACCCACCAGAUGUCAAGAACUACAUGGACAAGAAACUUUAGAUCAAGCUGAACCUAGUUGUUGACAAUACUGUGGAAGUGAAUGGCAACGAGAAAAUUGAUAUAGGCAUGGUGGUUAUCAGAGGAAAUAGUGUGGUUACUGUUGAGGCACUUGAACCGGUGAACAGGUCAUAGUGAUGUAUUAUGCUUCCGACUUGCGUUUACUUAGACAAUGUACUUCUGAGUAUAACUGGUAAUGAUGGAUCUUGAGAGAGUCAUGCUAGCCGCCGUUAGUUAGUUAGUUAGUUUUUUUUUUUUUUAAUAUAAAGCCACGGAAAACUAGUGCAAGACACUAAUCUCUAAUCAUGUCUGUAGUCAGGGGACAGGUUGUUAAAGAUACAAAUGUCAAAAUUACGAUAAUGCGUCUUGUGGGCUAGCCACUGUUUGUAUUGGUUGCUCAUCUGUUCCCUUGGAUUUACAAGUAACUUAUAUUGAACAUUUUCAUUGAUGGAAGGAUUUUGUAAAUGAGAAGAAUGGUGCCCAUACAAUGAGGCCCGCUAAUGAAGUAUGUCGAAACACGAGUCCAGAACCCU